AACACGUGGGCAACCUGCCUGUAAGACUGGGAUAACUUCGGGAAACCGAAGCUAAUACCGGAUAGGAUCUUCUCCUUCAUGGGAGAUGAUUGAAAGAUGGUUUCGGCUAUCACUUACAGAUGGGCCCGCGGUGCAUUAGCUAGUUGGUGAGGUAACGGCUCACCAAGGCAACGAUGCAUAGCCGACCUGAGAGGGUGAUCGGCCACACUGGGACUGAGACACGGCCCAGACUCCUACGGGAGGCAGCAGUAGGGAAUCUUCCGCAAUGGACGAAAGUCUGACGGAGCAACGCCGCGUGAGUGAUGAAGGCUUUCGGGUCGUAAAACUCUGUUGUUAGGGAAGAACAAGUACGAGAGUAACUGCUCGUACCUUGACGGUACCUAACCAGAAAGCCACGGCUAACUACGUGCCAGCAGCCGCGGUAAUACGUAGGUGGCAAGCGUUAUCCGGAAUUAUUGGGCGUAAAGCGCGCGCAGGCGGUUUCUUAAGUCUGAUGUGAAAGCCCACGGCUCAACCGUGGAGGGUCAUUGGAAACUGGGGAACUUGAGUGCAGAAGAGAAAAGCGGAAUUCCACGUGUAGCGGUGAAAUGCGUAGAGAUGUGGAGGAACACCAGUGGCGAAGGCGGCUUUUUGGUCUGUAACUGACGCUGAGGCGCGAAAGCGUGGGGAGCA
rnacentral:rRNA from 2 species